UGCCCCCCGGCCCGGGAUAGCCCCAGGGAAACCUGGAUUAAUACCGGAUGAGACGGGACCCGCGAUGGCGGGAUCCGGGAAAGGCGCUGCGGCGCCGCCGGGGGAUGAGUCUGCGUCCCAUUAGCUAGACGCGGGGUAACGGCCCACCGUGGCGACGAUGGGUAGCCGGCCUGAGAGGGUGGACGGCCACAUUGGAACUGAGACACGGUCCAGACUCCUACGGGAGGCAGCAGCUAAGAAUCUUCCGCAAUGGGCGAAAGCCUGACGGAGCCGACGCCGCGUGAACGAAGAAGGCCGUGAGGUUGUAAAGUUCUUUUCGGGAGGGGAACAACCGUGGCAGGGAAUGGCCGCGGGAUGACGUGAAUCCCGGAAUAAGCCCCGGCUAACUACGUGCCAGCCGCCGC
rnacentral:rRNA from 1 species